AGUAGUUUGAUCAUGGCUCAGAGCAACGCUGGCGGCAGGCCUAACACAUGCAAGUCGAGCGCCCAGCAAUGGGAGCGGCAGACGGGAGAGUAACACGUGGGAACGUGCCCUUCAGUUCGGAACAACCAAGGGAAACUUUGGCUAAUACCGGAUACGUCCGAAAGGAGAAAGAUUUAUCGCUGAAGGAGCGGCCCGCGUCUGAUUAGCUAGUUGGUGAGGUAAUGGCUCACCAAGGCGACGAUCAGUAGCUGGUCUGAGAGGAUGAUCAGCCUCACUGGGACUGAGACACGGCCCAGACUCCUACGGGAGGCAGCAGUGGGGAAUAUUGGACAAUGGGCGCAAGCCUGAUCCAGCCAUGCCGCGUGGAUGAUGAAGGCCCUAGGGUUGUAAAGUCCUUUCGUUGGGGAAGAUAAUGACGGUACCCAAAGAAGAAGCCCCGGCUAACUUCGUG
rnacentral:rRNA from 1 species